AGUGAACGCUGGCGGUAGGCCUAACACAUGCAAGUCGAACGGCAGCACAGUAAGAGCUUGCUCUUACGGGUGGCGAGUGGCGGACGGGUGAGGAAUACAUCGGAAUCUACUUUUUCGUGGGGGAUAACGUAGGGAAACUUACGCUAAUACCGCAUACGACCUACGGGUGAAAGCAGGGGAUCUUCGGACCUUGCGCGAUUGAAUGAGCCGAUGUCGGAUUAGCUAGUUGGCGGGGUAAAGGCCCACCAAGGCGACGAUCCGUAGCUGGUCUUAGAGGAUGAUCGGCCACACUGGAACUGAGACACGGUCCAGACUCCUACGGGAGGCAGCAGUGCGGAAUAUUGGACAAUGCGCGCAAGCCUGAUCCGGCCAUACCGCGUGGGUGAAGAAGGCCUUCGGGUUGUAAAGCCCUUUUGUUGGGAAGGAAAAGCAGCAGGUUAAUACCCCGCUGUUCUGACGGUACCCAAAGAAUAAGCACCGGCUAACUUCGUG
rnacentral:rRNA from 1 species